UAACAGGACAUUUAUUGAGAAAGUAUAGCAAGUACAGAAGUUAAAAAAGCAUCCCCCAAAUCGAGAAUGCACUCUUCUUUCUGUGAAUACCUGGUCCCUGGGAAGAGCAGGCUCAACUUGAAUCACAAAGAUAUUCAGACACACAUAUAAGGAACAUAUGGGUCUCAAGAGGUACCUUGUGUCUCAGCCUGGGGAAUCCUUUUCUCCUUUCUGGGAGUCCCCAUCAACUUUUCUAAAGGGUGUAGAGUUCCUGAUGAGUGAGACCCUCCUUUGCUCAGCUGGAAUACCUCCUUGCGGCAUGCAGUUUCCUUUUUUCCCCCUCAGGAAGCUUAAGUUUUAUUGGUAAAUAGUGUUUAUACAUAUGUCAAACCAGGUCAGGUAAUAAGAAUUUAUUAGGCACCAACCAAGUGAUAGAUAUUGUACAGAGAAAUACACUCUACCCCCCCCCCCCAAAUCUAUUAUUUUCAAGUAGCUCACAUUCUUUUUUAGAAAAUAAUUUUAGUUAAUGUUUUUAUGUCACUAAAAUAUUAUUUAGUAUAUUUUUCUUUUUUAAACAAAUUUCUUCUUCUUUCUUUCUUCCUUGCUUGCUUGCUUUCUUCCUUUCUUCCUCUCUCUCUCUCUCUUUCUCUCUUUUUCCUUCCUUCCUUCCUUCCUUCCUUCCUUCCUUCCUUCCUUCCUUCUUUCUUUCUUUCUUUCUUUCUUUCUUUCUUUCUUUCUUUCUUUCUUUCUUUCUUUCUUUCUUUCUUUCUUUCUUUCUUUCUUUCUUUCUUUCUUUCUUUCUUUCUUUCUUUCUUUCUUUCUUUCUUUCUUUCUUUCUUUCUUUCUUUCUUUCUUUCUUUCUUUCUUUCUUUCUUUCUUUCUUUCUUUCUUUCUUUCUUUCUUCCCUUACCUUCAGUCUUAGAAUCAAUACUGUGUAUUAGCUCCAAGGUAGAAGAGUGGCAAGGGCUAGGCAAUGAGGGUUAAGUGACUUGCCCAGGGUCACACAGCUGGGAAGUGUCUGAGGUCAGAUUUGAACCCAGAUUCUGUUUUUUCUUCCAUAUCUUCUUUCUCACACCUUCAACUUACCUUUUUUUUUCCUUUUAAAUAAACCCUUACCUUCCAUUUUGGAGUAAAUACUG
rnacentral:lncRNA from 1 species